rnacentral:lncRNA from 1 species
GAAAAACAAUGUUACCAAAAAUCGUGGACAACACCACUAAUCGAUCAUGGGAAUUAACAACAAGUAUAAUAAAUAAAAUAAUGUACUUCCACUUAGUAGGUAGCUAGAGAGCAUGCAUGGAAGGCUAUAUAUAUAGCUAGAUUAUUAAAGCUUUAUGUGAUUGAUGAGGGAGCUAGCUGUGUCGAAAGUAUAUCCAAGGGUUUUCUGGGCGGGGAGAUCAUCGCUAUAAGUGAACAGGUAACCUAUCUCGCAACCGGAUGCUUUCCCGAUCCCACCGUUGUAGGGUUUCUCCACCCCUUUGAUCCACUUUUGCGCAUUCUCCAGAUCCUCCUUGCUGCGCUUGCCAUUUCCGGCGGCGGCGAGGCGGCCGAGGCUCUGCAGCGCCUCCCUGGUGAUGUUCUCGCCGGCGGCUACGCUGAAGUCAUCGACGCAGGCGUUCAGGUUCGGGUCCCCCUUGCCGGCCCCUCCCUGGACCUUGCGCAAUUGGUCGACGUAGACCCAGAGGUUGGUGCUCAGGAUGGUGGCGGCCACCUCGGCGACCUUCACCUGGUUGCCCUCGAAGAAGGCAGCGUAGGGGAGGAGAUGGUAGUAGCAGAAGCUGGAGCCGUCGCGGUCGGCCUGCAGGGCGGUGUCGCAGCAGGAGCGGACGAACGCUGCCGCGUCCGCGGAGGGCGCCUCCCCUGGCGCCGCCGCUGGUGGCAGCACCACCACUGGCUUCUCCUCCUUCGCAGCGGCCGCACAUGGUGGGGAUAAGCCGCCGGCGCUGACGACCAUCAACACCACGAGGACGGUGGCCAUGCUCGAGCUCGACCUGCUCAUUUCUGUAUAUUAUUUAUCUCUCCGCCUCUCUCUCUCUCUGCUUGUUUCGUUACUACAGGAUGAAUUACUUCAUAACAACGAGGUACAAUUUAUACUAGUAGGCUCGAUUGGUCGUUAACUAAUUAACCACAACCUUUCUUUCUAAUUUAUUCAAUGGCUGUUCUAGCAUCACGGCAUGUCUUUUAGGUGUUGUGAUGUAGUGCCAUGCUUGCAAUUAUAAACUACUAUAUUAAUGCAACUAAUUGUCCAUAUAUAGACAGCCUGCUCGCUUUUUGUUUCAUAUCCAUUCACUUAGGCGCCUAGCAUUGGCUUCUAUAUUUUUGUCAAAUCCUUGCAUUUUUCCUUGGUUAAUCAUUAGGUCUAGAAAUAUAAUGAUAUAUAGUUUAAAAUUUAUUUAAUAUAAUAUACGAAUAUCUACAACAAUCUAUUUAUCUUAACCAAUCACAACUACUACUGCUCGUUUAAUUUUCUCACAUAACUACUCAUCUCAUUCAAUAAUAACUCUUUAUUCAGAUACUCAUUGUUAAUAUCCAGAAAAAAAGCUCCAAAUAUAUUGUUAGACGGAGAGAAUUAUUAUUUUGGAAGCAACUGCACCACAGGCCAGAAGCAAAAUUCAGCUAUAUAACUACUCUCUCCGUCCCAUAAUAUAAAUGAUUUUGCCCUUUAAAUCUGUCCCAAAUGUAAGAUAUAUAUUUUGUGAUCCGCGACGAUAUUUUAUACCCAACCUAUCAACUUAGUGCUACUUUUUUCCCAUCUACUAAUUUUUACCAAUUUAUUUUCCAUCUAUCAAUUUUUUUUAUUCCCUCUGUUCUAUAUUGUAAAACUUUCUGGCCCUGCCAAUAUAAUAUCAACCCAAUUGAUGAGAGAGAAACCACAUAAAACAAUAGUUUUGUGCUUGUGUUUCUCCCUUCUUCCGGUCUUCUUCCGACGCUCCUCUCAGUUCUCACACGCCCCCUGCUGUGCGUAAGGUCAUAGGCCACGCACGUGUGCCCCGCUGCCCCGUCCUCAGUGCUACACCGCUCCGCCGCGAGGGCUCCACGGCCAACGCUGCGCAAUCAUGCUGCUGCUCCUCAUGUGUGUACCCCUGCGUGUGAGGUAAAAGGCCGCCACUACGCCAUGGAGUCCUCAUCGUUUCCGCGGGGACCAUGUCAUCGACCCCUCCAUCCACGAUGCCCCGCCAGAAGGCCUCCGCAACUGUCUUCUUGUCGCUCUGGAGGAGUAGCUCCCUCCUGUUCAUGGUGUCGGUGAACUUCUGUCGGAUUAGCUUGGCGAAGACGUCGAUGAUGUUGAGGCCGGUGUCAACCUCGCUUAUGUACAAGAACAAGCGGUCGUUGUCGACCAGUUUCGACCGUCAAUAUUAUCCAAUAUACGAAGACUACCUAUGCUUGCAAUGCAUAAUUCCCAAAUAAAAUAAUUACUUCCACUAUAUGCUAUGCUACUAACAUGUAUGCAGGAGAAGCACUCAUAAAUGAAGAGAAGGAGGUGGAAAUAUAUCGAUCAAUCUGUCGAAAGUCUGCCGGUGAUAUGCAAUUGCAUGAGAAGACCCAAAAGUCCAAUUUAACAAUCACAAAUGGGCUUAGAAUGUAUGUCACUGAUUUAGGGGCCCACAUGGAAGUCUCCUGGAGGAAGCUGGGGGCCAAAAGAGCCCAUAUGGGGUCGGCCGACCCCUUGUUUAGCCCAAUCCAGCCGCAUUUUGGCCAGGAGAUAAUGGAGGCCGAGGAGGAAGCAGCAGGCCAGAAACCAGGCCUGUUGGGCCAGUCUAGGGUUCGGCCGAACCCUGAUCUUAGCCGUUGGCUCUCCCCUUUGGCGUGGACGCUCCGGAUUAACUCCUGAUGGCGGUUGCAGGGCAUUUCUGACAAUUCCCAUGCUCUACAACCGUCAUUGGGAGCUAUAAAAGGACCUCACCUCCUUCACUUUCAACACAAGCUCAAGUAAGGAUUGAAGCUCCAUUUCUCCAAAGUUAGAAUUAGUAUAGUACUAGUGGAAUAGAAUUAUAGUAGUUCCGAGUUGCGGAAGCUUUAGGAAGUUCGGUAAAGUUCUUAGCUUUUCCUUUCUUCUUUUAUAAGACUUCCUUUUUAUUAAUAUAAUAUUUCUUCUUUAUACAAGUUCGGUACUUUAUUCCAAUCAUAGAAUAUGAGUACCAUUCUUAGUUUAUUUAUAAUCAGUAUAAUCUUAGUAGUUAAACCUUCUGGGAUUUGCAUUGAUGCUGGUAUAAUGUCUGAUUACCAGGUCAUAAGUCUGCUCUGGCUAGGCUGAGAACUAUGCCCCGGGGACUCAGAUGCUCUACACCGAUUGCAAGGCUGUAGAGUAAUAAGUAGUAACUUAAGCAUGGGGUUUAGGUUAUCACUUAUCAUUAUUUUGGGGUAUAUUCGCCGGGAGAGUAGCAGGCCGCUGAUGGUGACAGCUUAGUACGUGCGUCUUCCCCACAGUUUAUAUUUCUACGUACAAUUUCCUGGGGUUGGAUACACCUUUGUAUCCUACUUUGGUUUGAGGGUUAUGAUAGGUUGUCGUAAGAAACUCGUCAACCUAGGGUAACUUUGCGAUGCAUCAUAUCGGGAGGGCAUAGCUGAGUUCUGGCUUAGCUAUGCUGCAUUGUUAAAGGGAAUAUACUACAUAGAGUAUACUAGCUAGAAUAGACUAGGAUGUUGUAUACUAGAAGUACAUGAGUGAGACAUUUCUAUUCUAUUUCCACUUAUUCAUAUUUAGGAUAAGGAGGAGUUAGCGGAAUCCUUAGCUGUGUGUCACUCUACCCUUAAGCUUAACUUACCCCUGCAUAGACCUUAAUGUAUACAGGUAAUACAUAAACUAUUAGCAUAGUACUCUUUUAUCAUAUAUUUCCUUGGGAUAAAAUAAAUACGAUAUCUUGGAAUACUCCUGGGUGAAAUGAUACAAUGGUAUAUCCGUGCGUUUGCGGAUCAUAUUUGUAACCAUAAUAUAUCAGGAUUAUUUCUAGUGCUAUUGCUGGGAAUUAUAUUUCCAGUAGUGUUACUAAGAAAUACCAACAUGGCGCUCAUGUCCACCGCGUCAUGCGCGAUUGCGAACGUGUGGCAGGUGACGGCGGCAACAGUUGGCAUCGGGAGAGCGACGAGGUCGGCAACGAGGUCCCGAGGGGCACCGCCUAUAGAGGCGUGCAGCUCGACUGGCGCAUGCGCGCACAGGCAGGCCAAAGCCGUUGGAGAAGCACUUCUCCAUGGUGGCAAUCGCUGGUGCACUGGCACCCAAAGUGGCGCAGACAUGAGGGCCAGGCCAAGGCAUGAGUGCUCGCCAGCACCAGUUAGGGUGAUGACGUGGACAUACGGGGCUGCACUUCUCCACAGUGCACAAGCUCGCCAUGUCCAUUUGCAUUACUUGGUAGGCUGCAGAAUCAUUUUUUUUCUAUUACAUUGCAUAUAUGGUCAUUCUCUUUGGAAAUAUCAUAAUUGGAAAUUUUAAAAGAUCUAUACAUAUAUAGAAGUGAGUGUUCUAAAGAAACAUUCUCUGUUAUACAUUGUUAGGAACCCACUACUUCCAACUCAACAACAAGCAUCCACCAUAGAAGCAACAACUGUUUUGGGGACAAGAGAAGAAGCUAUGGAAUACAAGUGCUGGAAACUUCUAGAACCGAGGGGGGAGGGAAGGCUGGAGAUCGGAGGAGAGGUAGGGGAGAGAGAUCGACGAGGGUGCCCACCGGCCACCCAAGUCGCCGCCGCCGCCAGGAGCUUCAGCUCUGCCAAGUCCAAACGAUCUUUCGAUGCCCCCUGGUGUUGUCGAUGCUGCUGCUUAUAUGCUGCUCCCUUCCGUUUGCUUGGGCCUCAUGGCGAUGGGCUGACCAGCCUGUGUGCGGCCCACCCGGGAUCCUGACAAUCCCCUCUUCUUGAAAUUUGGCUUGUCCACAAGCCGAUGGAAAACACCUCUCGAAUCCCAUGGUUGCUCCAAAUAUUUGGUGUUAGACAAUGAACCAUCAUUGAAGAAGAAUAGAGCAAGUAGCUUUAGCUUGAAUAACUGCUUACUCCAUGUAAAGUACACCUGGGUGAUGCAUGACAAUGGCACUGUUACGAAUCGCUUGCCAACAUUGAUUCCCAACAAUUUGAUAUGCUGCAAAGAGUGACAACCUCGCUUGAUCAACACCACUGUAGGAACUAACCCAAAAGUAUACUUCUCAUCAUGAAUUGAAUUAAUGCAACUUCUUCCAUUUCUUUCACCCUUUUGCAGCCUUUUUCAUCAGCAAUCACAUAUAGCAAAUAUCUUUCAACAUUCAAACCAAUGUAAUUUGAUUCCAAACAUGAUCAGAUUCUGAUAUCACCAUGCAAAUUAUUCUCAUAUUCCAUUUCUCCACUCUAGUUUGGUAGUAGUUGAGCAACAUCCCCUGAAGAUCAACAGAUGAUAACCAAACAGAUAAUGAUUUAGGAUCACAAAAUAACUAGAUUGCUUUCCUUGCUAGCAAGUGAUGUCAAACUGACCUGGAAAGUUAGAUCCCAAAACUUCUGCAUUUUUUGCUCAAAGCAAGUGCAAGUUUCAGUAAUCAUCAUUUUCUUUUGCUCAUUCCAUGGAAUUAUACUUGCAGCAGAAUCAGUAGUGCAACAUUUCCCUUCUCUAACUUCCAGCAAACAAACUAAUGGCAGCCAAGGUGGCAUGACAAAUAGUCUGAGCUUGUCAACAUGUUUUCCUUUGAAGGAAAAGUUCACAGAACCAAAUUGCCCAGUACUGCUCAGCUCCACAACCAUCACUCUUGCAAGAAGUAAGUGACUCCAACUUAAGUAGCAGUUGCCCUUUCUUUCCAUUUCAACAAAAGAUAGCCCCAAAAGUAAAUAUUCAGGUUCACCAGCAGCAUAGAUACCUUCCUUGCUAGUGGCUGCUAUAAGGUUGAUCAAAAAGGACAACUCACUUUUCACUCCAACAUUGAAUUUCAGCUUAUUGCUCCACAAAAUUUACCUCCAAUGAAAAUAAUGUUGUGGGAACCAAUCAUCCAUCCAUAUUGAUAUUUUGCAAAGGUGGACCUUUCCAUCACCUGGAUCCCACACUAGUGGCCCAAACAUGACAUGUAUAAUGUUCAGCGAGUUUACCAAUGAAAAUUGCUUGCCCACAAAGAGUUGAAACCAUUUCGCUUCGGUUGGAGGGGGCCAAGGUGGCAGUAUAUGUACUUUACAACAGCUGCAGUUGAAUGCCAGCCAUGACAUUAACUGUGACUCCAAUAUGAUCAACUCUUGAUCCCUUGAUGUUAUGGGUGGCCAUGGAUCAACCUCAAAGUGUUGCAACAGCAGUUGCCAUGGAACUAACAAAUGUCCUUCAACUGAUUCCACUAACACUGGGGUGCUUAAGAAGGACAAAUAAGACACAACUUGAGAGUUGUUAGACCCAGAACAUUUCGCUGAAUACCUGGUGGGCAUCAAUGUGUAAUGCUUGAUGUCGGCGAUCAUCCUUGGUGAGAAGGCGCUCAAUGAUGCAAUGGAUGCUGGAACGGUCUCAAGUACAACCGUCUUGGUCAGGAACACGAUGUCGGCUUUGUUGGCGUCCCACUUGAUAUCGAAGCCCAACAUCGAACACUUGGCGUGCGUCUCCUUGGAAUAGUCAGUGGUGGGAAUUUUGGUGGUGCUGGUUGCACCAUUAUCAGCUACCAACUUCAUGGAGGCCAUGGCAGUGGCGGCACAUUUGACCACCGCAACCACGGUGAGAUUGGGCUCGAUGUCGGGACUAGAGCAUUUCGUCGAACAUGUGGUGGGCGUCACCUUUGACUGCUCUUUCUUAAUUGACGCUGGCAAGUCUUUUGCCUUCUUCCCAACUUCCGGUGUGCAUGCUUCAACCACAUCUAUGAGAGACCGUAUAUCAGCUCUAGUUCUCCGAUCAGCCUCCUCUCGCCUCAGCUCAUACUCCUCUAUUGUCACACCCUGUAGUUCUCCAACUAAGCCUAAAAGUGAAUUAAUAAGAGACCCUAAGAAAAUACCGGUGCAAAGCAAGAGUAAACCCUAUUAAAUCAAUGCAAACAAUAAUCGGAAUUGGCAUGUGGAAUUUUUCUUGAGUUCUACAAGUCGAAAUUCACUAACAGGAUUUUUAGUGGAAUUUUGAGAGCUCUCGAAAUAAUUUUAACUAUUUAAAAUUGAGCUUGCAAUAUUUUAAAUCCCAGGGAAAUUCUUUUCCUCCUUUUCCUCUUCUUGGGCCGUCGGCCCAGUCCACCCCGCCAUGCGCGCCCUCCUCCUUGUGGGCCGCCCAAGCCGCCCCUCCCUCUCUCCCCGGGACGCCGACAGGUGGGCCCCACAUGUCGGACCCGUCCCCUUCCUCCAGCCGGAGCCGCCGGGCCUGCAACCGCCGCCGCGCCCACGCCUCCGCCUUCUCCGGGCCACGUCAGCCACGUCCGCGCGUGCGCCGCAUCUCCCGCACCCACUUCUCCCCUCUCUCUCCCGUCCGCGCCUGUGCCCCGCGCCCGAGAUGGCCGGGAUUCGAUUUUCGAAUCCCGCCUCUCUCUCCUCCCCCACUCCCCACAUUGGCCGGCGAAAUCCCACCCCUACCGGCCACGUCCGGGGCUCCCCUCCCCUAUUUAGGCUUCCCCGUCGCCCCCUCUCGCUUUUUCCCCAUCUCGCCGAACUCCCUCGUGCUCCCCAUCGCUCCCGCGCCGUGCAACCACCCGCCACCGCCGUUUCCGCUACUCCGGCCGCCGCUAGCCGCCGCUAGGGUCGCCGCCGCGCCGCGCCGUCACCGCCGUCGGGUUCGCGAGGCUAAGCUCUACCCCGGCCGCUCCUUCCCCGUCGAGUUUCGUCGCCGGAAUUCGCACCCCCUCGCGCUCUGGUGAGUUCAACCGCUAUCGCCGCCUUCGGCCAUGAAUGCCGGUCGCCGUGGUUCAUCUCCCUCUCUCUAAUCUCUCUCUCUUCCUUCCUUAGGGCACCCCGAAACCCGUCCGCCGGUUGCCGUCGUCCUCCCGUGGCUUGCAGCCGCCGUUCGCCAUCGUCUUCCUCCGCGCCGGCCACCCUCGGUGAGGUUUCCUCUCCCAUCCAUUCCCCUCCCUCUCCUUCCUAGCCGCCGCUUAGUGCCGCCGCCUUCGCGUCGCCUUUCCGCCGUCGCCUCAGCCGCCGGAUGCCGUCGCCGGCAACGCGUUCGCGCGCGCGCGCCGUCGCCAUCACCGCGGCCGGUAGGCCGGCCUUGAGCCAAGCCGAGCCGGGUCGUCGCCGCCCGUCCGAUCGACCCCGAGGGCGAUCUGGGCCGUUUAGACUAGAGAUUGGACUAGGGAUUGCUUAGCCAUGCUUAGUUCAACUAGUGCACAAUGGGGAGAAUCCUAUUAAUGUUUAGACUGUUGGUUCUAAUGGUAUUGUUGGAUUAGUGCCACCGCUUUGGUGUUGGUUAAUUAAAAGAAAUCACAUGGUGGGCUGUGGGUGCAUGGUUUUACUGGUCGCACCCAUGGCAGUUAAGGACCAGUUCGCGGGAUGCCCUGGAAGAACUUAUCGUACUUACCACAAGCCAGCGUGGGCAACGGCUGGGCUUGUAACGUAGCUUUCCUCUAGCCGACGCAUCCAGGCAAGGGUGGGCGUGAUGGAGUUUGGAUGGGCCCUGCGACGGCCUAUGCGGCUUUCGGAUUCACCUAGGCACGAGAGGGGACUGCCCGCUGCCUUGCGAGGAGUGGGUGUGAAACCUGAGGUGUGGUGUGCUUGGUUAGAGGGGGUUAUGCGAAGGGUCCUGUCACGGCCUCUUUCCGGUAUGUCGUGGUGGCAUGUCGGUGCACGGAAACGUGUCGUGGGGCUGUGUCUUGUGGGUACAGUUGUACACCUCUGAUCAGAGUAAAACUAUUCGAAUAGCCGUGCCCGCAGUUAUGGGUGGUCAACCAGAUUCAACGUGAUUAGUCUCACCCUAGUGUAAUCUUUUGAAUUUGGAUAGUUUAGGUGGAGGUUUGGGCCUGUUGCAACGUGGGAUAGCAUUGGACAGUGGAUAGUUAAUAUUAAUUAAUUAUUACAACUGUUUAAAUCUUUCAACUUCUGUUUUUUUAAUGCUCGCUUUAUGCAAACGAACCACUUUAGCUCUUCUUUGAUAAUUCCUUGCAUCAUGCCUCUAUUCCGGUAUGACUUGCUGAGUAUAGUGGAUAGUACUCAGUCUUGCUCUAUUUUUCCCAACCCCAGAGUACGAGUAUGUGUCAGAUGGAGGUUUCUCUGAGGAGUAGGCUUCGUCCGUGCCGUCAAGGAUGCCUGUGGAGUGGUGUUCCCGCUGCAGUUCUAGUCAAGGCUUAGCUCCUGUUGUCUUUCUUUCUUUCCGCUGCAUUUAUGUGAGACUUUUAUGAUGUUUGUAAGACGUGGAUCUGAAUGUCAACAUUGUCGUUUGUGUACCCCGGCCGGUCCUAGACGGGGAUUUUAAUGCACAUUCUGCUUGGAAUUCUAUUUGGAAAUUUCUGGGCGUGACAAGUUGGUAUCAGAGCCAGGUUGACCGUAGGACAAGCCAAAUGGAAAAACCUAGGAGCCCUCUGAAUCCUUUUCAUUGCAUAUGUUCUUUGCAAUUGGAUUUGUUCCGGGAAAAUUGGGAUCUGUUCUUGUGGUUCAAGGGGAAAAAUCUUGGUCGCUCGUUUAAGUGAGAUUUGUCAAAACAAGUCAGUCCAGGGUUUUAGUAAAACUAUUGAGAUUUAUUCGUCAGUCAGUUGGGAUUUGAUGGGUGAAAUGCAUUAGAUCCUAGCUCGGGAACAUGGGUUGCAAGGUAUUUAUGCUCUUACUGUUAUUAUUAGUAUGUAUCUAAUUUCCCCAAUAUUUUAUCGUUAUGUGAGUCUGUCUUAUUUAUUCGCUCUCAUGCAAAAGGAUCUAUGCAUAAAAUUUCGCUCUUAUUCGAUUCUCUUAUUUGAGUCCUUUAUUGCUUUAUUUAAAUUUGGAUUUGAGCAUGCAUUGAUCCUACUCCUUUGUCUUCUCUAGAUGGCCGGCCACCCACCCAACCACCGCGGAGAAGGCAUGAUUGACUUUGUGGCAGAGUUGGCACGUAUGACGCUGGUGGUGGGCUACCCCAACGCGCCAGAGUACACGACUGUUCCACCACUCAGUGGCGAGCUUCCUCACCGUGUUCGCCUGGAGGUCCACGGCUACGUGGGUACCUGCCUAGCUAAUAUGGUGGUUGAGGCAUCCGGAGGCACAGCAGAUCACGCCUGUUAGGAGGCAGCAUACCUGAUGAUGGCCAGACUACGGGAGCGCCACAACUACAUCUUCCACGACACGGCGUACCGAUUUCACCCUCGUCGAUUUCAAAGAAGUUUGUCGGGAUGCAUGGGUUAAGGAAAGAAGAGCUUAGCACACCAAUGAGGGUUCAUACCCCGGAAAAUAGUUCAACCUCAGUCAGUUUUAGCCCUUCAGUGCUAAUAGAAAUCCAAAGAUCACCAUUUCUAGCCAACCUCAUUCUUCUCGAAUCCAAAGACCUAGAUGUCAUUCUUGGGAUGGAUUGGCUAACCAAGUUCAAGGGAAUCAUUGAUUGUGCGAAUCGCACAGUCACCUUGACCAACAAGAAGGGAGAAACAGUAGUGUACAAAUCACCAGACUCACCAAAGCAAGGGGUCUCCUUGAAUCAGAUUGAAGCGGAAAUCCCAGUGGUCACCGUGGAGAAGAAUUUGAGGAAGUUGGAAGAUAUCCCCAUAGUCUGCGAGUAUCCAGAAGUGUUCCCCGAAGACCUCACUACCGUGCCACCCAAGAGAGAGAUUGAAUUCCGGAUUGACUUGGCACCGGGAACCGCUCCAAUUUACAAGAGACCGUACAGAAUGGCGGCCAACGAACUAGCAGAGGUCAAGAAGCAGGUUGAUGAGCAGCUGCAGAAAGGGUACAUUCGACCAAGUACUUCACCUUGGGGUGCUCCGGUCAUUUUUGUGGAGAAAAAGGAUAAGACGAAGAGGAUGUGCGUUGAUUAUCGCGCACUCAACGAGGUCACAAUCAAGAACAAAUAUCCUUUGCCGCGAAUCGAUGAUUUGUUUGAUCAACUGAAAGGAGCUAAAGUGUUUUCUAAGAUAGACCUGCGAUCAGGCUACCACCAGUUGAGAAUUCGGGAAGAGGAUAUUCCAAAGACGGCCUUCACCACUCGGUACGGGCUAUAUGAGUGCACGGUUAUGUCUUUCGGACUUACCAACGCACCUGCAUUCUUCAUGAAUCUGAUGAACAAAGUGUUCAUAGAAUUUCUGGACAAGUUUGUUGUGGUAUUCAUCGACGACAUACUUAUCUAUUCAAAGUCCGAAGAAGAACAUGAGCAACAUCUCCGUCUGGUACUCGAGAAGUUGAAGGACCACCAGCUAUACGCCAAGUUCAGCAAGUGUGACUUCUGGUUGACGGAAGUCAAAUUUCUGGGCCAUGUCAUUACAGCUCAGGGUGUGGCAGUUGAUCCAUCGAACGUAGAGUCAGUUACCAAAUGGACCCCACCGAAGACCGUGUCGCAGAUUCGAAGUUUUCUUGGACUUGCAGGUUAUUACCGCCGAUUCAUCGAAAACUUCUCCAGGAUCGCCCGACCCAUGACUCAGUUGCUUAAGAAAGAUGAGAAGUUUAAAUGGACAGCCGAGUGCGACAGGGGUUUUGAGGAGCUCAAAAAGAAAUUAGUAUCCGCACCAGUUUUGAUUCUGCCCGGCCAGAUGAAAGACUUCCAAGUCUAUUGCGAUGCAUCCCGCCACGGACUUGGAUGUGUCCUAAUGCAAGAGGGCAGAGUGGUUGCAUAUGCCUCGUGGCAGUUGCGUCCACACGAAGGGAAUUAUCCAACUCAUGACCUGGAAUUGGCAGCAGUGGUUCAUGCUUUGAAGAUCUGGAGGCACUAUCUGAUUGGCAACCGCUGCGAAGUAUAUACGGACCAUAAGAGUCUGAAAUACAUCUUCACCCAACCGGACAUAAAUCUCCGACAACGAAGAUGGUUGGAACUAAUCAAAGACUAUGACAUGAGCAUUCACUACCACCCGGGUAAAGCCAAUGUGGUGGCAGAUGCAUUAAGCAGGAAAAGUUACUGCACUGCCCUAUGCAUCGAGGGCAUGUGUGAGGAAUUGCGGCAGGAGUUUGAGCAUCUCAACGUGGGAAUUGUUGAACACGGGUUCGUAGCCGCUCUGGAGGCACGGCCUACGCUCAUGGAUCAAGUAAGGGCAGCUGAAGUAAAUGAUUCUGAAAUAGCAGAGCUGAAAAAGAACAUGAGAGUCAGAAAUGCCCGGGAUUUCCACGAAGAUGAACACGGCACAAUCUGGUUGGGAGAAAGAUUGUGUGUACCUGACGACAAGGAACUGAAGGAUCUGAUACUCACCGAGGCUCAUCAGACCCAGUACUCCAUUCAUCCGGGCAGCACCAAAAUGUAUCAAGACCUCAAAGAAAAGUUUUGAUGGGUCAGCAUGAGGAGAGAAAUAGCUGAAUUCGUCACACUCUGCGAUGUUUGUCAACGAGUGAAGGCAGAGCACCAAAGACCAGCAGGUUUACUUCAACCUCUUCAAAUCCCGGAAUGGAAAUGGGAGGAGAUUGGAAUGGACUUUAUAACAGGACUGCCCCGGACAUCAUCGGGUCACGAUUCAAUCUGGGUAGUCGUGGAUCGACUCACUAAGGUUGUUCACUUCAUACCAGUACAUACCACGUAUACGGGCAAAAGGUUGGCGGAGCUCUACCUCUCGAGAAUCAUGUGUCUACAUGGAGUACCCAAAAAGAUUGUAUCUGAUCGAGGGAGUCAGUUCACCUCAAAAUUCUGGCAGAAGCUGCAGGAAGAAUUGGGGACCCGUUUAAAUUUCAGCACGGCCUAUCACCCGCAAACUGAUGGUCAGACCGAGCGAGUCAAUCAAAUCUUGGAAGAUAUGUUGAGAGCUUGCGCUCUUGAUUUUGGUGGAGCUUGGGACAAAAACUUGCCAUAUGCGGAAUUCUCGUACAACAACAGCUACCAGGCCAGUCUACAGAUGGCACCGUUUGAAGCUUUAUACGGCCGGAAGUGCCGCACACCUCUCUCUUCUGGGAUCAGACAGGCGAGCGUCAACUGUUCGGGAUAGAGGUAUUAACGGAAGCAGAAGAGAAAGUCAGAAUCAUCAGGGAAAGGUUUAGGAUUGCCCAGUCUCGACAGAAGAGCUACGCGGAUAACCGCCGAAGGGAACUCACUUUUGAGGCAGGGAUUACGUGUAUCUUCGUGUCACUCCGCUCCGGGGAGUACACCGUUUUCAGACGAAAGGCAAGUUGGCACCACGCUUCGUGGGACCCUACAAAAUCCUGGAACAAAGGGGAGAAGUUGCUUAUCAGUUAGAACUUCCAUCCAAUAUGAUCGGCAUCCAUGACGUGUUCCACGUGUCCCAAUUAAAGAAGUGCUUAAGGGUACAUGAAGAACAGGCUGAUUCGGAACACAUUGAUAUCCAGGAGGAUCUAACCUAUGUGGAGAAGCCGGUUCAUAUACUUGAUACCAGCGAAAGAAGAACUAGAAACAAGGUCACCAGGUUUUGCCGAGUUCAGUGGAGUCACCAUUCAGAAGAGGAAGCAACCUGGGAAAGGGAAGAUGAGUUGAAAGCCGCCCAUCCGCACCUCUUCGCCAGCUCCUCCGAAUCUCGGGGCCGAGAUUCCGUUUAAGGGGGGAUAGGUUUCUCACACCCUGAAGUUCUCCUCCUAAGCCUAAAAGUGAAUUAAUAAGAGACCCUAAGAAAAUACCGGUGCAAAGCAAGAGUAAACCCUAUUAAAGAAAUGCAAACAAUAAUCAAAAUUGGCAUGUGGAAUUUUUCUUGAGUUCUACAUGUCGAAAUUCACUAAUAGGAUUUUUAGUGGAAUUUUCAGAGCUCUCGAAAUAAUUUUAACCAUUUAAAAUUGAGCUUGCAAUAUUUUAAAUUCCAGGGAAAUUCUUUUCCUCCUUUUCCUCUUCUUGGGCCGUCGGCCCAGUCCACCCCGCCACGCGCGUCCUCCUCCUUGUGGGCCGGCCCAAGCCGCACCUCCCUCUCUCCCCGGGACGCCGACAGGUGGGCCCCACCUGUUGGACCCGUCCCCUUCCUCCAGCCGGCGCCGCCGCGCCUGCAACCGCCGCCGCGCCCACGCCUCCGCCUUCUCCGGGCCACGUCAGCCACGUCCGCGCGUGCGCCGCAUCUCCCGCACCCACUUCUCCCCUCUCACUCCCAUCCGCGCCCGCGCCCCGCGCCCGAGAUGGCCGGGAUUCGAUUUUCGAAUCCCGCCUCUCUCUCCUCCCCCACUCCCCACGUUGGCCGGCGAAAUCCCGCCCCUUCCGGCCACAUCCGGGGCUCCCCUCCCCUAUUUAGGCUUCCCCGUCACCCCCUCUCGCUUUUUCCCCAUCUCGCCGAACUCCCUCGUGCUCCCCAUCGCUCCCGCGCCGUGCAACCACCCGCCGCCGCCGUUUCCGCUACUCCGGCCGCCGCUAGCCGCCGCUAGGGUCGCCGCCGUGCCGCGCCGUCGCUGCCGUCGGGUUCGCGAGGCUAAGCUCUACCCCGGCCGCUCCUUCCCCGUUGAGUUUCGUCACCGGAAUUCGCACCCCCUCGCGCUCCGGUGAGUUCAACCGCUAUCGCCGCCUUCGGCCAUGAAUGCCGGUCGUCGUGGUUCAUCUCCCUCUCUCUAAUCUCUCUCUCUUCCUUCCUUAGGGCACCCCGAAACCCGUCCGCCGGUUGCCGUCGUCCUCCCGUGGCUUGCAGCCGCCGUUCGCCGUCGUCUUCCUCCGCGCCGGCCACCCUCGGUGAGGUUUCCUCUCCCAUCCAUUCCCCUCCCUCUCCUUCCUAGCCGCCGCUUAGUGCCGCCGCCUUCGCGUCGCCUUUGCGCCGUCGCCUCCGCCGCCUGAUGCCGUCGCCGGCAACGCGUUCGCGCGCGCACGCCGUCGCCAUCACCGCGGCCGGUAGGCCGGCCUUGAGCCAAGCCGAGCCGGGUCGUCGCCGCCCGUCCGAUCGACCCCGAGGGCGAUCUAGGCCGUUUGGACUAGAGAUUGGACUAGGGAUUGCUUAGCCAUGCUUAGUUCAACUAGUGCACAAUGGGGAGAAUCCUAUUAAUGUUUAGACUGUUGGUUCUAAUGGUAUUGUUGGAUUAGUGCCACCGCUUUGGUGUUGGUUAAUUAAAAUAAAUCACAUGGUGGGCUGUGGGUGCAUGGUUUUGCUGGUCGCACCCAUGGCAGUUAAGGACAGGUUCGUGGGAUGCCCUGGAAGAACUUAUCGUACUUACCACAAGCCAGCAUGGGCAACGGCUGGGCUUGUAACGUAGCUUUCCUCUAGCCGACGCAUCCAGGCAAGGGUGGGCGUGAUGGAGUUUGGAUGGGCCCUGCGACGGCCUAUGCGGCUUCCGGAUUCACCUAGGCACGAGAGGGGACUGCCCGCUGCCUUGCGAGGAGUGGGGGUGAAACCUGAGGUGUGGUGUGCUUGGUUAGAGGGGGUUAUGCGAAGGGUCCUGUCACGGCCUCUUUCCGGUAUGUCGUGGUGGCAUGUCGGUGCACGGAAACGUGUCGUGGGGCUGUGUCUUGUGGGUACAGUUGUACACCUCUGAUCAGAGUAAAACUAUUCGAAUAGCCGUGCCCGCGGUUAUGGGCGGUCAACCAGAUUCACCGUGAUUAGUCUCACCCUAGUGUAAUCUUUUGAAUUUGGAUAGUUUAGGUUGAGGUUUGGGCCUGUUGCAAUGUGGGAUAGCGUUGGACAGUGGAUAGUUAAUAUUAAUUAAUUAUUACAACUGUUUAAAUCUUUCAACUUCUGUUUUUUUUAAUGCUCGCUUUAUGCAAACGAACCACUUUAGCUCUUCUUUGAUAAUUCCCUGCAUCAUGCCUCUAUUCCGGUAUGACUUGCUGAGUACAGUGGGUAGUACUCAGUCUUGCUCUAUUUUUCCCAACCCCAGAGUACGAGUAUGUGUCAGAUGGAGGUUUCUCUGAGGAGUAGGCUUCGUCCGUGCCGUCAAGGAUGCCUGUGGAGUGGUGUUCCCACUGCAGUUCUAGUCAAGGCUUAGCUCCUGUUUUCUUUCUUUCUUUCCGCUGCAUUUACGUGAGACUUUUAUGAUGUUUGUAAGACGUGGAUCUGAAUGUCAACAUUGUCGUUUGUGUACCCCGGCCGGUCCUGGACGGGGAUUUUAAUGCACAUUCUGCUUGGAAUUCUAUUCGGGAAUUUCUGGGCGUGACAUCUAUCCGCCUCAACAGCAAGUCCAAUUUGUCUUCUAUUGCCAUGGCACCCUACUUGAUGAGAACUUUCUCAACUAGACCAAGAGCUAGAUGGGGGAAACCAGGCUGGCUCUGAUACCAGAUUGUUAGGAACCCACUACUUCCAACUCAACAACAAGCAUCCACCAUAGAAGCAACAACUGCUUUGGGGACAAGAGAAGAAGAAGCUAUGGAAUACAAGUGCUGGAAACUUCUAGAACCGAGGGGGGGGGGGGAAGGCUGGAGAUUGGAGGAGAGGUAGAGUAGAGAGAUCGACGAGGGUGCCCACCGACCGCCCAAGUCGCCGCCGCCGCCAGGAGCUUCAGCUCCGCCAAGUCCAAAUGAUCUUUCGAUGCCCCCUAGUGUUGCCGAUGGUGCCGCUUAUAUGCUGCUCCCUUCCGUUUGCUUGGGCCUCUUGGCGAUGGGCUGACCAGCCCGUGUGCGGCCCACCCGGGAUCCUGACAUACAUUCAUUGUGGAUUAGGUGCAAGAAGAGGCCGUAAGUCAAGCAAUUCGAUUAAGAUGGGGGAAGUAGGAAGAUACAGUAAACCCAUUCAUCAUGAGCAGAGAUGACCAUUUCAUGGUUAUUGAGAUCGUAGAGAGUAAUCAAAUUAGUUCACUCAGAUCAAACACAAAGACAACAGGCCGUGUAGGAUAUGGAAAAAUGGUGUGCCCAUUAAUCUAAUCAUUUUAUCGAAAGGAGUAACGAAUUAAUUUAUACUGCGAAACUGUUGUUUCAGAACAGGUCCAUAUCCUGUCGUGUGGUAACACAACUGGAUGGAAUCAUAAGAUGAAAAGGAGCAGCAAGACCGUCUUGCCGGAAAUUUUCUGGUAAUUUCUGAACUUAUUUGUGCAUAAAAUCCUCGUCCAGGAAUCAGCUGAGGUACAUAAACUGACAAUUUAAUAUACCAAUCCAUCAUAAUAAUAUCGUUACAUACUUACAAAAGAAAAGAAAAGCUGCGGCGGAAUUACGGUCUAGCGAAGGUUCGGCUCCACUCCCACAGGCAGCUCAAUUGGGGUAUAAGCCAAACGUUUUCUCCCUCUGGAUCAUUUUAAUUUCUUCAACUGAGGUUGAUUGAUUAUUGCAAGAUGAGUACGUGGAAUACUCCACAAGCCACACAGCAAAUAUGUGAGUGCACAAGGAUUCCGAAGGAUGGCAUAAUAUAGGCUCAUUUGCAAAAGUAGCAUUUAGCAAACAUUUAGGAGUAGUAAAACAAUAGAGUAAUUAAUCAUCAAUAUUAAUCAACACUGAACAGCACAACCAUGCUGCACAGGCCCAACCAUCCUAAACAACCAUACCCAGCUGUACAGAUCUAAUUCCAAACUAGGAGCUAAGCAAAUUAUUACCUGCUAUAGCAUCAAUAAUUAUUAUGAGAGGUGUGAGACUAAUAACGAAAAACAUUGCUCAACCCGCCCAUAACCGCGGGCACGACUAUUCGAAUAGUUUUACUCUGGCCAGAGAUGUACCACUGUACCCACAAGACACAGCCCCAAAACAUGUUACCAUGCCCUCAGUAUCACCACGGUACCUCGAAACGGGACUGUGACAAUACCCCUCAUACAACACAAUCCACCACAGCGCACCAUACCUGGAUCAUAAUCACCCCCUCAAUAACCAGAGGCAUGGACUCCGCAGCGAUCCCCAUGGACUUCUCGCUACUUCACAGUCUGGUGCCCCGCAACGAACUAUGCUAUACAAAAGGUAAAGCUGUUGCCCACGCUGGCGUGGAGGUACUGGUCCACGGUGACGGCGACAUUUUGGCGAUCUUCGGCGAAGGAAAACCGGUGGCCGGGCUUCAGCUUGGCGCUGCGAUGCUGAGGAAGACGACGGCGAAAACCGACCACCACGGAGUCAUCGACGGGGCUCGACCGGAGGUGGAGUAGAUCGGGUUCACGUUGAUGAGGGGAUUCCAAUGGGUUUCGGCUUCGGGAAGAUGGCUGUCGGGCUUGCUCUUGACCUUGCGGAGCCGAGGGAGGAAGAAGCAAAGACCGAGGACGGCCAGGGCGACGGCGAGAUGUGGCUGGAGCGGCGGCCGGCGGUAGACUGAGAAGGCGAACGCGGCGGCAGCGCUACAAGCGAUGGUGGAGAUAGGGAGAGGUGGCGGCCGAAAGAGGAGAGGGUGGGGACUUUAUUUAUAGGCGUGGGAAAGAGAGAUCGGCUCGGGAACGGAUGGAUUCGUUGAAGGAAAAUUAGGGUUUGUUUUUGCAGAGAUAAACUCAAUCCGAGCUCGAUUCCAUGUCGAAUUAAAAGGGAUAAAGUCUAGGGAAACGGAAGAGAACCAAUUCAAGAAACGGCUGAGAGAAUCGAGCGAAUCAGGCGGAGGAAACGACAGCGUCUCGGCAGCUGCACGGGCUCUAUCUGGAGCUGGAAGACGACACUGUAGCUGGAGGGAAAACGUAUAGACUUUCAGCUGGGCUUCAUCUUCCAAGGCCUGAUUAAAGAGGGAAGCAAAUGCCCGGUUUAUGGGAGCUUCUCCCAGCUGCAGCUUUUCCCAAAAGCUGCUUCUGUUAGAAGCUGCCUCAAACAGUCCACAGCUUCUGAGAAUCUGUAGUUAUAGAUUCUAAAAAAUGAACUAAGAAGCCAAAAGCUGGAGAAGCUGGGUUUCAGAGCUUUUCCACAUUCUCAGAAGCUGGCUACCAAACAGCUGCUUCUCAGAAUCUAAAGCUCCCCCAAACAGGCCCAAAGCAGACUUCGACAGAGAGAAAGAGGCUGCUGGAUCGGCUGGGCUGAAGGAGAGAGAUGGGCCAUAUUAAGACCUGAGCUUUGGAAAGUAUUUUAAUUACUUUUCCAACUAAAUUAAUCACUGAAAUGAUAUUUGAAUUGUUAAAAAUACUUCAAAUACUGAAAUAUGUUCAAGAAAAAUCUCGCAACUGCUUGGACACUUAGAGUAUUUAACAAACUUAAGAUAAGAUCAUUUAAUGACUAAUUUAAUAUUUAAAUAAUUCCUAAAAUGUUCUUUGUAUUAUUAAAAUUAGUAAUUGAGCUCUAAAAAAUCCGAGAAAAUUUCAGAGAGUAUAAUUAACCAUGUAGAAUUUAAUAAAAAUUUAAUCCAUCCUUGCUUUAUAUUUAGGAAAUUUUAUUUCCCACAUUUAACUUCACUUGUUUAUUAAUGUACAUUUAAUAUAAAUUUUAAUAAUAAUUUAUUAAAUAAUUUAUAAAUCCUAAUACGAAAAUAAGGAUGUGACAAAGACUGCUAGAAGAAAUCACAAGAAGAAAGAUAGUGACUUGACUCCUACAAAUGAAGGGAUGCAUCUUACACACAGAGUGGAGAUUAUGGGUAGUUGGGUACCACAUACCCACAUGGCACGUAUAUCCGACUGGUUAUAGGUAAUAGCUUGUAUAGAUAGAAUAUGUUUAGGAAAUGACUCGGGAAUUAUGUUAACUUGUAUGUCAAGGAAAUAUCCAGUAGUGCCAGUUAGCUACAGUUGUAAUACAUAUUCGUUAGCCUAGUACGUAAGCCAUAUGGGCUGUACAUUGUAAUCUUGGCUCCUCUCCCUAUAUAAGGUCGGGUCUAAGUGUACCUAGGGGCAUAACUUUUCUCCUAGAUCAUCAGAUCAAUAAUACACUCGGUGGAAUAAUUCCCUAGCUGUAUAAACCUUUGCCUCCUACGUCCUAACCUAUCCACUUUUCCAGCUUGAUUGCUACCCCUUUUAGUAUUGCCGGAAUCUUGUUUUGACAGUUGGCGCGCCAGGUAGGGGUUGCGCCAUGUUUUUCGCCGACUAGUGUGAUGGGAUUCGUUUCGGGCAUCACCGACUUCACUUUCCCUCCCGGGCAGACGUGCUGGUUCGGCGGCCCAUGGACCUCAUCAGCCACCCGUACAUGCAUGCAAAGAAGACAUCGUACGACAGAUCAAUCCAUGAUUAUAAAUCAAGCUAAUAAUACUAUAUAGAUUGUGAAAGAAGUUCUUCUGUAUAUGUGCAGAAUGAAGGAUCCCUUAAAGCAAAUUGUUUUUGAUUGGUUGCAAGCUUUAUAGUUUUAUUUAGUUCCUUCGACUGUAACUUUGUAAAUAUUUUUUGAGUUAUAUAAAAUUACACUGCUCGGCAAAGCGACGGCGCUCUUCGGCUUGACGACGGCGACGAUGCUCCGGCGGUCUUCGACGGCAACGAAGGAGCGGACAAGGACGGCGACGACUUGGCGAUCACGACGGCGGUCUUCCCGAGCGACGGCGACGGCUGAAACGACGGCGGCGCACGGCUGGAGCGGCGGCGGCGACGGCGAAGCUAGGGCACACGGCGCUAGAGCGAUUCCGACGACGAGAGGCGAAGGCGAAGGUGGCGACGGGUAGAGGAGACACCGGGGGUCCUUUUAAAGGGGCUCGGAGGCGGCGGCAAAGGCCCACGGCGACGGCAACGGCGAAGGAAAGCUCGGGCUUGAAGGAAAGAGGCCGAUCCGAAUCGAACUCGAUUCCACGAACUUCCAAAACGAAUUAGCCGAUGAUUCCAAAGGAGAAAAGGUAGAGGAGAUCCCGGAGAUUGUUUCCCCUCUAACAAUUCGGCCGGAGAAGGAAAGGAACGGCCGGAUUUGGAAAGGAAACGGCGGCGGCGCGAAACUAGGGUUUCGGCGGCGGCGGCCGAAGGUAGACGACGACUGACAGGUGGGCCCCACCUGUCAGCGAGCGAGGGCGCGCGCGCGGGCGGCGGACUGGGCCGGCUGGGCCGAGGAGAGAGAAGAGAGGUUUUGGGCCGACUUUCGGCCCAAAGCCAAAAGAAGACUUUUUAAAACCUUUUUCAAUUUAAAUUAUUUCUUAAAUGCAAUUCCAUUUAUUAAAAAUACUUUCUUAGCUCAAAUAAACCCCAGAAAAAUCUAGGAAUUAUAGAAUUAAGCAAAGUAUUUAACGAAAUUUUAUCUUGCCCCAUUUUAUAUUGGAAUUUAUUUAUUAAAAUUAAAUCUUCUUUUCAAGACUUUUAAAAUUAUUUCUAAAAAAAUUCCAUUUAAACAACAAUUUAUAUAUUUUGAAUUUUCAGGGUGUGACAUUAGUUUAUUUAUAAUCAGUAUAAUCUUAGUAGUUAAACCUUCUGGGAUUUGCAUUGAUGCUGGUAUAAUGUCUGAUUACCAGGUCAUAAGUCUGCUCUGGCUAGGCCGAGAACUAUGCCCCGGGGACUCAGAUGCUCUACACCGAUUGCAAGGCUGUAGAGUAAUAAGUAGUAACUUAAGCAUGGGGUUUAGGUUAUCACUUAUCAUUAUUUUGGGAUAUAUUCACCGGGAGAGUAGCAGGCCGCUGAUGGUGACAGCUUAAUACGUGCGUCUUCCCCACAGUUUAUAUUUCUACGUACAAUUUCCUUGGGUAGGAUACACCUUUGUAUCCUACUUUGGUUUGAGGGUUAUGACAGGUUGUCAUAAGAAACUCGUCAACCCAGGGUAACUUUGCGAUGCAUCAUAUCGGGAGGGCAUAGCUGUCACGCCCUGAAGUACCCCUCCCUUGCUCUAAAUUCAUAAAAUAAAUCGUUCGAAGAAAUUGUUUAAUUUAACCUAGAGAGAAACCCUAAAUUAAUAAAUGCAAAUAAUAAUCGGAAUCGGCAUGUGGAAUUUUUCUUGGGUUCUACAUGUCAAAAUACGCUAACAGGAUUUUUAGUGGAAUUUUCAGAGCAUUGGAAAUAAUUUUAACCAAUUAAAAUAAGCAAAGUGCAAUAUUAAAUCCCUGGGAAAAUCCUUUUUCCUUUUUAUCCUUCCUUUUUCCCCCUCUUUUCCUCCUUUGGGCCGCCGGCCCAUCUCUCCCGCCCCCUCCCGAAGUCCAGGUCGCCUCCCCCUCACUCCCUCGGGCGCUGACAGGUGGGGCCCACCUGUCAGCACCUUCCCCAACCUCCAGCCGGAGGGACGGCCUCCCUCCUCCCUACCGCCCCGCGCUCCCUGCCGCCCCGGGCCACGUCGCCCACUCCCCCGCGCGCCCGCACUCCCCGCGCCCACGCCCCACUCCCGCUCACCCCGCGCCCGCGAGAUGGCCGGGAUUCAAAUUUGAAUCCCGCCUCUCUCUCUCUCCUCCUCCACCUCCUCCACUACUCCGGCGAAAUUGCGCCAUUCCCGGCCACGACUCGCCGCCUCCCCUCCUAUUUAAGCACGCCCGCACCUUCCUCUCUCUUUUUCCUUUCUCGGCCGAGCCCUCCCGAGCCCUCCAUCACUCCCGCACCGCUACACCCGCCGCCGCCGCCUUUUCCACUCCUCCGGUCGCCGCUCGCCGCCGCUGGAGCCGCCGCCGAGCCAAUCUGCCGCCGCCAUUAGCUUCGCCGCCGCCAAAGCUACCCCGGCCGCCGCAUCCCCAUCCAAUCCCGCCGUCGGGACCCGCUUCUCCCCGCGCGCCGGUGAGUACCACCAUGGCCGCCGCCUUCGACCGGCGAAUCCGCUCGCCGUAGACCACCCCUCUCCCUCUAAUCCUUUCCAUUUUGUUCCCUAGGAGGCCCCGGAGAUCGUUCGCCCGUCGCCGUCAUCCUCCCGUCGCUCGUCGUCGUCGUUCGCCGUCGUCUCCACUCGCGCCGGCCAACCUCGGUGAAAAACUCCCCCUCCUCCCUCUUUCCCUCUCUCCCGUGUGCGUCGCCGUCCUCCGCGCGCGCACCGUCGUCUUCGGCCGCCGACGCCGCUUUUCGCGCCGUCUGCCGUCGCCGUCCGCGCCGCCGGUUGCCGUCGCCGGUGACCGCGCGUGCCGCCGUCGCUCGCCAUGCUUGGCCUGCCGGCUUUGAAGCCAAGCCGAGCCACCAGCGGCGCCCCUCCCGCCUUGUGCCACUGCCAGUGGGGCCCACGUGCCGGCGCCCCUCCCUCUCUCUCUUGAGCCGCCGCUCGGUGGGGCCCGCUUGCCAGCCGCCCCUCUCUCUCCUUGAGUCACUGACCCGCGGGUCCCGCAUGUCGGCGCCGCCCCACCCCUUGCUGACGUCAGCCCUGGGGCAAUAUUGCGCAAUAAAUCGAUUAAGGGUUUUUCUUUUAUAGUAAAAACACAGAGAAUCUUCUAAAAAUCAUAACUAAUUCAUCCGAGCUCCGAUUAAGUCCAUUCAAGUCUCAGUAAAUUCAUAAAAAUGUGUAGAAUCCAUUAAAAAUGGUUUUGCUUCCUGUUUCAGUAGUCUUAUAGCAUGUUUUGCUUGUGUGCUUUGUUUGUCGCGUAGAUUUCGGCCGUUUCGUCGAUUCGUGGUUUCUCGAAGACGUUGCUGUGGUUCCAUCAGUGCGAGAGCAAGGCAAGUCAUACAUUGCAAUUGAUCAUAUUGUACCUAAUUUACAAAUGUCCCGCAUUUCUAUUAAAUAUUGCAUUGUUUUACAAUAUCAUGUGGGAUGGGUCCUAUUACUCAGCUAUAUGUUGUUUCCCUUAUGCCAUUGAUAACUUGGGUAUUAAAAUGACUAGAUGUUGGUUUAGGAGAUGCUUAGCCAUGCUUAGUUCAACUAGUGCACAAAAGGGGACCACAUUAAAGCAUAGACUUGAUUAUUGGCAAUAGCUUUGGAUUAGUGCCACCGCAAUGGUGUUGGCUAAUUAAAAUACACUACAUGGUGGGCUGUGGGUGCAUGGUUUUGCUAGACGUGCCCAUGGCGAUUAAGGACCGGUUCGCGGGAUGCCCUGGAAGAAUUUAUCGUACUUACCACAAGCCAGCGUGGGCAACGGCUGGGCUUGUAGUGUAGCUUUUCUCUAGCCAACGUACCCAGGCGAGGGUGGGCGUGAUGGAGUUGGGUCGGCCGGGGUGUCCGGUUGAUCGGCUGCCGGAUUCACCGCGGCACGAAAGGGGGGCUGCCCGUUGCCUGCUGGGGACGGGGGCGAACCCUAAGGUGUGGUGCGAUCGGUUAGAGAGGGUUAUGCGAAGGGUCCUGUCACGGCCUCUUUCCGGUAUGUCGUGGUGGCAUGUCGGCGCACGGGAACGUGUCGUGGGGCUGUGUCUUGUGGGUACAGUUGUACACUUCUGAUCAGAGUAAAACUAUUCGAAUAGCCGUGCCCGCGGUUAUGGGCGGUCGACCAGAUUCACCGUGAUUAGUUUCACCCUAGUUAGCUUUUGGAACUGGUUAGUUCAGGUGGUGGUUUGGGCCUGUUGCAACGUGGUGUAACGUUGGACAGUGAUUGGUUAAUAUGGAUUAAUUACUACAACUGUUUUACUGCUUUCAACUACUGCUUUGAAAUGCCGGCUUUAUGCAAAAGAACCUUUAGCCUCCCUUGGAUAUAUCUUGCAUCAUACCUCCUCUUCCGGUGUGACUUGCUGAGUACAGUGGGUAGUACUCAGUCUUGCUCUCUUUUCCCCCACACCAUAGUUGAAGUCCUUCCCAGUUGAAGAUGUCUCGAAGAGGUUGGUUUCGUCGCUGCCGUCAAGGAUUGCCUGUGGAAUGGAGUCGCCCGCUGCAGGAGUCAAGUCUUCAGGCUUAGCUCGCUUUUAUCUUUUUCCGCUGCAUUUGUAAUCUUUUAUAUUUUUGUAAGACGUGGAUCUGUAUGUCAAUAAUUGUCGUUUGUGUACCCUGGCUGGUCCUGGACAGGGGUUUAAUGCACAUUCAGCUUAGAAAUUCUGGUUCGUGAAUUUCUGGGCGUGACAAGUUGGUAUCAGAGCCGACCUUGACCGUAGGACAAGCCAAAUGGAAACCCUAAGAGCCCUCUGAAACCUUUUCAUCUGCAUAUGCUUUUUGCACUUGGAUUUGUUUCGGGAAAAAUUUUGGGGUUUUGUUCUUUUGAGUUUGUGGGAAAAAUCUUGGUCGCUUAUUUAAUUGGAUUUCUCGACUAGGGACAGUCUAGGGUUUGGUAAAAGUUUAUUUGGAGUUUAUUUGACAGUCAGUUGGGAAUUUAUCGGGUGAUAUGCAUUAGGUCGUGUCUAUGUUCGAUGGGGCAAUGUUACGCGCACCAUUUUUCAUGCAUCUAGUUUAUGCAUUAAGCUAUAGUUUAGUCAGUCGCAUUAGUGUCUUUAUCCGGGUUCAUGAAAAAUGUUCUAUGCAUAAAAAUCAUCAUGCUUGGCUAGUUGUUUGGGCCAGUUGUUGCUUGGUUUAAAUUUGGAUUUGAGCAUGCAUUGAUUCCUAUCCCUUGUCUACCUUAGAAGUCAGACAUGUUCUUCGAUCGCAAGCGCCGCUCCAAGCUUCAGAGUCGCCGCCCUUAGCUUUAUCGUCUUCUUAGUUUUGUUUGCUUGCUAGUUUCCGUGCUUAGGUUUGUUGCUUGUGGGUUAGUCGGCGGUCGAUAUCAUGUGUGAGUGGUAUGACAGCCUUUAUUAGGAGUUGUGUGCCUCUUUUUCAGUGUUUUAAUCAAGAUUAAGAUAAUUGCACUUAAUCUUAUAAGAAAGAUUAGUUUCCGAGCCGUCUGUUUUCUUCCUUUCUCUUAUUUCUACCUAUCCUCCUCCAGAUGGUGAAGACAAGGAAUGAUCCCCGUGACUCCAACGACGCCAGUGGCAGCGAAGAGCAGACCGAUGGAGCUCAUGUCAGUGGUGCAUCUGGCAGCAGAUCAUCUCCACCGCCCGAAAACCCAACAGUCACUCAAAUGAUGACAAUGAUGAUGCAACAGAUGCAGCAACAUUACCAUCAGAUGUUGCAGCAGGCGCAACAGAACCAGCAGUUUGGUCCUCCACCAUCACACGUGUCCAAACUGUUAGACUUUCUCUGUAUCCAGCCACCCACUUUCUCAAACACCACCAACCCAAUGGAGGCCAACGACUGGCUCCGUGCUAUUGAGAAGAAGCUGAACCUACUGCAAUGCAACGACCAAGAGAAAGUUGCUUUUGCUACACACCAGUUGCAAGGUCCCGCUUCUGCCUGGUGGGAUAACUACGUGGCGACCCGUCUAGAUGCAACGGAGGUUACUUGGGCAGAGUUUUGUCAAAGUUUCAGGAAGGCACAGAUUCCUGAAGGGAUUAUGGCACAACAGAAGAGAGAGUUCCGUGCGCUCCAACAAGGAACCAUGUCAGUUACAGAGUACUUGCAUGAGUUCAACCGCCUUGCACGCUAUGCUCCUGAGGACGUGCGCACCGAUGCUGAGAAGCAGGAGAAGUUUUUAUUUGGGCUCGACGAUGAAUUGACCAACCAGCUAAUCUCCGGAGUUUAUGAGGACUUUGAGAAGCUUGUGGACAAGGCUAUUCGUCAGGAAGAGCAACGCAACAAAAUGGACCGAAAAAGAAAGGCAGCUCAGAUCAGCUUUCCUCAGGGGAACAAUCAGAAGCCUCGCUUCAUGACGGGACAGCUAGGUGGGCCUUCCACCCUGAUCGUCUGUCAGCACCGUCCCUAUCACCCGAGUAACUUCGACAACGACUACAACGGUGGCAGGCACAACAACAGUAAGCAGCACAACCACAACUCGACUCCACCCCCACUAAUGGCACCAGCUCAGUCAGAUCCGCCAGCUGUGUCAGUUCAGUCAGAACAACCCAAGAAGGGGGCUGUAGGAAAGCCAGGACCCUGCUUCAACUGUGGCAAGCACGGCCACUUUGCUGGCAAGUGUCCGAAGCUGAAUCGCACUGGACCCAGGUUCAUCCAGGCCCGCGCCAAUCAUGUGUCUGCAGAGGAAGCACAGGCAGCACCAGAGGUCGUGUUGGGCACGUUUCCAGUGAACUCAUAUCCAGCAACAGUUCUCUUUGAUUCAGGUGCCUCGCAUUCUUUCAUUUCCAAAAGAUUUGCUGGGACACAUGGAUUAUCGGUAGUGGAACUUAAAAUACCGAUGCAGGUUCAUACCCCUGGAAAUGAUAUGAGGACAGCACACUACUGCCCCUCGGUGACUAUAGAGAUCAAAAGAUCACCGUUUCUAUCCAACCUCAUCCUUCUCGAAUCUAAAGACCUGGAUGUCAUUCUUGGAAUGGAUUGGUUGACCAGAAACAAGGGAGUGAUUGACUGCGCAAGCCGCACCAUCACCCUAACCAACGACAAAGGGGAGAAGAUCACCUUCCGUUCCCCAGCGUCGCAGAAGUCCGUAGCGAGUCUGAAUCAGGCUGCUAUUGAGGGUCAGACAGAAACAGUGGAGAAAAGUCCCAGGAAGUUGGAGGAUAUUCCUAUAGUACAAGAGUAUCCUGAGGUGUUCCCAGAAGACCUCACUACAAUGCCACCGAAGAGAGAAAUCGAGUUCCGAAUUGAUCUGGCACCCGGGACUGCUCCAAUUUACAAGAGGCCGUACAGAAUGGCAGCUAAUGAGCUAGCAGAGGUCAAGAAGCAGGUUGACGAACAGCUGCAGAAAGGGUACAUCCGACCGAGUACUUCACCUUGGGGUGCUCCGGUGAUCUUUGUGGAGAAGAAAGACAGGACCAAGAGGAUGUGCGUGGAUUAUCGCGCCCUUAAUGAGGUCACAAUCAAGAACAAAUAUCCGUUGCCCAGAAUUGAUGACCUGUUUGAUCAGCUAAAAGGAGCUAAGGUGUUUUCCAAGAUAGACCUGCGAUCAGGCUAUCAUCAGUUGAGAAUUCGGGAAGAGGAUAUUCCCAAGACAGCCUUCAUCACUCGGUAUGGGUUGUUUGAGUGCACGGUUAUGUCAUUUGGACUCACCAAUGCACCGGCUUUCUUCAUGAACUUGAUGAACAAAGUGUUUAUGGAGUUUCUUGACAAGUUUGUCGUGGUAUUCAUUGACGACAUACUUAUUUAUUCAAAAUCAGAAGAGGAACAUGAGCAACAUCUUCGUCUGGUACUUGAGAAAUUGAAGGAGCACCAGUUAUAUGCCAAGUUUAGCAAGUGUGACUUCUGGUUAUCGGAGGUCAAAUUUCUGGGUCACGUCAUUUCUGCUCAAGGCGUGGUAGUGGAUCCAUCAAAUGUGGAAUCAGUUACAAAGUGGACCCCACCAAAGACAGUUUCUCAGAUCCAGAGUUUUCUUGGACUUGCGGGCUAUUACCAUCGGUUCAUCGAAAAUUUCUCUAAGAUUGCCAGGCCCAUGACACAGUUGCUAAAGAAAGAUGAAAAAUUCAAAUGGUCAGCUGAGUGCAACCAAAGUUUUGAAGAACUCAAGAAGAAGUUAGUCUCCGCACCAGUUCUAAUUCUGCCAGAUCAGACAAAAGACUUCCAAGUCUACUGUGAUGCAUCUCGCCAAGGGUUGGGAUGUGUGUUGAUGCAAGAAGGCAGAGUGGUCGCAUACGCUUCGCGACAGUUGCGUCCACACGAGACCAAUUAUCCCACUCAUGACCUUGAGUUGGCAGCAGUGGUUCAUGCUCUGAAAAUCUGGCGGCACUAUCUUAUUGGCAACCGCUGUGAAGUUUACACUGAUCAUAAGAGCCUGAAGUACAUCUUCACCCAGCCCGACUUAAAUCUCCGGCAACGAAGAUGGCUGGAGUUGAUUAAAGAUUAUGACAUGGGGAUACACUAUCAUCCAGGCAAAGCAAAUGUGGUAGCAGAUGCUUUGAGCAGAAAAAGCUAUUGCAAUGCCUUAUGCACCGAAGGCAUGUGUGACAAAUUGCAGCAAGAUCUUGAGCACCUAAAUUUGGGCAUCGUGGAACACGGGUACGUUGCUGCCCUAGAGGCACGGCCUACGCUCGUGGAUCAAGUCAGAGCAGCUCAGGUAAAUGAUCCUGAAAUAGCUGAGCUAAAAAAGAAUAUGAGGGUCGGAAAAGCCCGAGAGUUCCAUGAAGAUGAGCAUGGCACAAUCUGGUUGGGAGAAAGAUUGUGUGUGCCUGACGACAAAGAACUGAAGGAUCUCAUACUCACAGAAGCUCAUCAAACCCAGUAUUCAAUUCAUCCCGGCAGUACUAAAAUGUACCAAGACCUCAAAGAGAAAUUCUGGUGGGCUAGCAUGAGAAGAGAAAUAGCCGAAUUCGUCGCACUCUGCGAUGUUUGUCAGCGAGUCAAAGCAGAACAUCAGAGGCCCGCAGGACUGCUACAACCCCUUCAGAUCCCGGAAUGGAAAUGGGAAGAAAUCGGAAUGGAUUUCAUAACAGGUUUGCCCAGAACAUCGUCAGGGCACGAUUCAAUCUGGGUGGUCGUGGAUCGACUCACCAAAGUUGCUCAUUUUAUUCCAGUACACACUACCUAUACUGGGAAAAGGUUGGCAGAGCUUUAUCUUUCAAGAAUCAUGUGUUUGCAUGGGGUACCUAAGAAGAUUGUAUCUGAUCAAGGAAGUCAAUUCACUUCAAAGUUUUGGCAGAAACUGCAAGAAGAAUUGGGGACUCGUUUGAAUUUCAGCACGGCUUAUCAUCCACAAACAGAUGGUCAGACCGAGCGAGUAAAUCAAAUCUUGGAAGAUAUGUUGAGAGCUUGUGCACUUGACUUUGGUGGAGCCUGGGAUAAAAGUCUACCGUAUGCGGAAUUCUCUUACAACAACAGCUAUCAGUCCAGUUUGCAAAUGGCACCGUUUGAAGCAUUGUACGGACGAAAGUGCCGCACACCACUUUUCUGGGAUCAAACAGGUGAGCGCCAACUGUUUGGGACAGAAGUGUUAACCGAAGCAGAGGAGAAAGUCAGGACCGUCAGGGAAAGACUGCGAAUCGCCCAGUCUCGGCAAAAGAGUUAUGCUGAUAACCGCCGAAGAGAGCUUACUUUCGAAGCAGGGGAUUAUGUGUACCUUCGUGUCACUCCGCUUCGGGGAGUACACCGCUUCCAAACCAAAGGCAAAUUGGCACCACGCUUUGUGGGACCAUACAGGAUCUUGGAACGCAGAGGUGAAGUCGCUUACCAGCUUGAGCUCCCAUCUAAUAUGGUUGGAAUCCACGAUGUGUUUCAUGUAUCUCAAUUGAAGAAGUGUUUGAGGGUACCUGAGGAACAAGCUAGCUCAGAGCACAUUGACAUCCAGGAAGAUCUGACUUAUGUGGAGAUGCCGAUUUGUAUCCUCGAGACUAGUGAGAGAAGGACCAGAAACAAGGCGAUCAAGUUUUGCAAAGUUCAGUGGAGCCACCACUCGGAAGAAGAAGCCACCUGGGAAAGAGAAGAUGAAUUGAAGGCCGCUCAUCCGCACCUCUUCGCCAACUCUUCCGAAUCUCGGGGUCGAGAUUCCGUUUAAGGGGGGUAGGUUUGUCACGCCCUGAAGUACCCCUCCCUUGCUCUAAAUUCAUAAAAUAAAUCGUUCGAAGAAAUUGUUUAAUUUAACCUAGAGAGAAACCCUAAAUUAAUAAAUGCAAAUAAUAAUCGGAAUCGGCAUGUGGAAUUUUUCUUGGGUUCUACAUGUCAAAAUACGCUAACAGGAUUUUUAGUGGAAUUUUCAGAGCAUUGGAAAUAAUUUUAACCAAUUAAAAUAAGCAAAGUGCAAUAUUAAAUCGCUGGGAAAAUCCUUUUUCCUUUUUAUCCUUCCUUUUUCCCCCUCUUUUCCUCCUUUGGGCCGCCGGCCCAUCUCUCCCGCCCCCUCCCGAAGUCCAGGUCGCCUCCCCCUCACUCCCUCGGGCGCUGACAGGUGGGGCCCACCUGUCAGCACCUUCCCCAACCUCCAGCCGGAGGGACGGCCUCCCUCCUCCCUACCGCCCCGCGCUCCCUGCCGCCCCGGGCCACGUCGCCCACUCCCCCGCGCGCCCCGCACUCCCCGCGCCCACGCCCCACUCCCGCUCACCCCGCGCCCGCGAGAUGGCCGGGAUUCAAAUUUGAAUCCCGCCUCUCUCUCUCUCCUCCUCCACCUCCUCCACUACUCCGGCGAAAUUGCGCCAUUCCCGGCCACGACUCGCCGCCUCCCCUCCUAUUUAAGCACGCCCGCACCUUCCUCUCUCUUUUUCCUUUCUCGGCCGAGCCCUCCCGAGCCCUCCAUCACUCCCGCACCGCUACACCCGCCGCCGCCGCCUUUUCCACUCCUCCGGUCGCCGCUCGCCGCCGCUGGAGCCGCCGCCGAGCCAAUCUGCCGCCGCCAUUAGCUUCGCCGCCGCCAAAGCUACCCCGGCCGCCGCAUCCCCAUCCAAUCCCGCCGUCGGGACCCGCUUCUCCCCGCGCGCCGGUGAGUACCACCAUGGCCGCCGCCUUCGACCGGCGAAUCCGCUCGCCGUAGACCACCCCUCUCCCUCUAAUCCUUUCCAUUUUGUUCCCUAGGAGGCCCCGGAGAUCGUUCGCCCGUCGCCGUCAUCCUCCCGUCGCUCGUCGUCGUCGUUCGCCGUCGUCUCCACUCGCGCCGGCCAACCUCGGUGAAAAACUCCCCCUCCUCCGUCUUUCCCUCUCUCCCGUGUGCGUCGCCGUCCUCCGCGCGCGCACCGUCGUCUUCGGCCGCCGACGCCGCUUUUCGCGCCGUCUGCCGUCGCCGUCCGCGCCGCCGGUUGCCGUCGCCGGUGACCGCGCGUGCCGCCGUCGCUCGCCAUGCUUGGCCUGCCGGCUUUGAAGCCAAGCCGAGCCACCAGCGGCGCCCCUCCCGCCUUGUGCCACUGCCAGUGGGGCCCACGUGCCGGCGCCCCUCCCUCUCUCUCUUGAGCCGCCGCUCGGUGGGGCCCGCUUGCCAGCCGCCCCUCUCUCUCCUUGAGUCACUGACCCGCGGGUCCCGCAUGUCGGCGCCGCCCCACCCCUUGCUGACGUCAGCCCUGGGGCAAUAUUGCGCAAUAAAUCGAUUAAGGGUUUUUCUUUUAUAGUAAAAACACAGAGAAUCUUCUAAAAAUCAUAACUAAUUCAUCCGAGCUCCGAUUAAGUCCAUUCAAGUCUCAGUAAAUUCAUAAAAAUGUGUAGAAUCCAUUAAAAAUGGUUUUGCUUCCUGUUUCAGUAGUCUUAUAGCAUGUUUUGCUUGUGUGCUUUGUUUGUCGCGUAGAUUUCGGCCGUUUCGUCGAUUCGUGGUUUCUCGAAGACGUUGCUGUGGUUCCAUCAGUGCGAGAGCAAGGCAAGUCAUACAUUGCAAUUGAUCAUAUUGUACCUAAUUUACAAAUGUCCCGCAUUUCUAUUAAAUAUUGCAUUGUUUUACAAUAUCAUGUGGGAUGGGUCCUAUUACUCAGCUAUAUGUUGUUUCCCUUAUGCCAUUGAUAACUUGGGUAUUAAAAUGACUAGAUGUUGGUUUAGGAGAUGCUUAGCCAUGCUUAGUUCAACUAGUGCACAAAAGGGGACCACAUUAAAGCAUAGACUUGAUUAUUGGCAAUAGCUUUGGAUUAGUGCCACCGCAAUGGUGUUGGCUAAUUAAAAUACACUACAUGGUGGGCUGUGGGUGCAUGGUUUUGCUAGACGUGCCCAUGGCGAUUAAGGACCGGUUCGCGGGAUGCCCUGGAAGAAUUUAUCGUACUUACCACAAGCUAGCGUGGGCAACGGCUGGGCUUGUAGUGUAGCUUUUCUCUAGCCGACGUACCCAGGCGAGGGUGGGCGUGAUGGAGUUGGGUCGGCCGGGGUGUCCGGUUGAUCGGCUGCUGGAUUCACCGCGGCACGAAAGGGGGGCUGCCCGUUGCCUGCUGGGGACGGGGGCGAACCCUAAGGUGUGGUGCGAUCGGUUAGAGAGGGUUAUGCGAAGGGUCCUGUCACGGCCUCUUUCCGGUAUGUCGUGGUGGCAUGUCGGCGCACGGGAACGUGUCGUGGGGCUGUGUCUUGUGGGUACAGUUGUACACCUCUGAUCAGAGUAAAACUAUUCGAAUAGCCGUGCCCGCGGUUAUGGGCGGUCGACCAGAUUCACCGUGAUUAGUUUCACCCUAGUUAGCUUUUGGAACUGGUUAGUUCAGGUGGUGGUUUGGGCCUGUUGCAACGUGGUGUAACGUUGGACAGUGAUUGGUUAAUAUGGAUUAAUUACUACAACUGUUUUACUGCUUUCAACUACUGCUUUGAAAUGCCGGCUUUAUGCAAAAGAACCUUUAGCCUCCCUUGGAUAUAUCUUGCAUCAUACCUCCUCUUCCGGUGUGACUUGCUGAGUACAGUGGGUAGUACUCAGUCUUGCUCUCUUUUCCCCCACACCAGAGUUGAAGUCCUUCCCAGUUGAAGAUGUCUCGAAGAGGUUGGUUUCGUCGCUGCCGUCAAGGAUUGCCUGUGGAAUGGAGUCGCCCGCUGCAGGAGUCAAGUCUUCAGGCUUAGCUCGCUUUUAUCUUUUUCCGCUGCAUUUGUAAUCUUUUAUAUUUUUGUAAGACGUGGAUCUGUAUGUCAACAAUUGUCGUUUGUGUACCCUGGCUGGUCCUGGACAGGGGUUUAAUGCACAUUCAGCUUAGAAAUUCUGGUUCGUGAAUUUCUGGGCGUGACAAUAGCUGAGUUCCGGCUUAGCUAUGCUGCAUUGUUAAAGGGAAUAUACUACAUAGAGUAUACUAGCUAGAAUAGACUAGGAUGUUGUAUACUAGAAGUACAUGAGUGAGACAUUUCUAUUCUAUUUCCACUUAUUCAUAUUUAGGAUAAGGAGGAGUUAGCGGAAUCCUUGGCUGUGUGUCACUCUACCCUUAAGCUUAACUUACCCCUGCAUAGACCUUAAUGUAUACAGGUAAUACAUAAACUAUUAGCAUAGUACUCUUUUAUCAUAUAUUUCCUUGGGAUAAAAUAAAUACGAUAUCUUCGAAUACUCCCGGGUGAAAUGCUACAAUGGUAUAUCCGUGCGUUUGCGGAUCAUAUUUGUAACCAUAAUAUACCAGGAUUAUUUCUAAUGCUAUUGCUGGGAAUUAUAUUUCCAGUAGUGUUACUAAGAAAUACCAACAUGGCGCUCAUGUCCACCGCGUCAUGCGCGAUUGCGAACGUGUGGCCGGUGACGGCGGCAACGGUUGGCAUCAGGAGAGCGACGAGGUCGGCAACGAGGUCCCGAGGGGCACCGCCUAUAGAGGCGUGCAGCUCGGCUGGCGCAUGCGCGCCCAGGCAGGCCAAAGCCGUUGGAGAAGCACUUCUCCAUGGUGGCAAUCGCUGGUGCACUGGCACCCACAGUGGCGCAGACAUGAGGGCCAGGCCAAGGCAGUGCUCGCCAGCACCAGUUAGGGUGAUGACGUGGACAUACAGGGCUGCACUUCUCCACAGUGCACAAGCUCGCCAUGUCUAUUUGCAUUACUUGGUAGGCUGCAGAAACAUUUUUUUUUUCUAUUACAUUGCAUAUAUGGUCAUUCUCUUUGGAAAUAUCAUAAUUGGAAAUUUUAAAAGAUCUAUACAUAUAUAGAAGUGAGUGUUCUAAAGAAACAUUCUCUGUUAUACAUUGUUAGGAACCCACUACUUCCAACUCAACAACAAGCAUCCACCAUAGAAGCAACAACUGUUUUGGGGACAAGAGAAGAAGAAGCUAUGGAAUACAAGUGCUGGAAACUUCUAGAACCGAGGGGAGAGGGAAGGCUGGAGAUCGGAGGAGAGGUAGGGGAGAGAGAUCGACGAGGGUGCCCACCGGCCACCCAAGUCGCCUCCGCCGCCGGGAGGUUCUGCUCUGCCAAGUCCAAAUGAUCUUUCGAUGCCCCCUGGUGUUGUCGAUGCUGCUGCUUAUAUGCUGCUCCCUUCCGUUUGCUUGGGCCUCAUGGCGAUGGGCUGACCAGCCCGUGUGCGGCCCACCCGGGAUCCUGACAAUCCCCUCUUCUUGAAAUUUGGCUUGUCCAAAAGCCGAUGGAAUACACCUCUCGGAUCCCAUGGUUCCUCCAAAUAUUUGGUGUUAGACAAUGAACCAUCAUUGAAGAAGAAUAGAGCAAGUAGCUUUAGCUUGAAUAACUGCUUACUCCAUGUAAAGUACACCUGGGUGAUGCAUGACAAUAGCACUGUUACGAAUCGCUUGCCAACAUUGAUUCCCAACAAUUUGAUAUGCUGCAAACAGUGACAACCUCGCUUGAUCAACACCACUAUAGGAACUAACCCAAAAGUAUACUUCUCAUCAUGAAUUGAAUUAGCAUCUUCUUCCAUUUCUUUCACCCUUUUGCGGCCUUUUUCAUCAGCAAUCACAUAUAGCAAAUCUCCUUCAACAUUCAAACCAAUGUAAUUUGAUUCCAAACAUGACUCAGAUUCUGAUAUCACCAUGCAAAUUAUUCUCAUAUUCCAUUUCUCCACUCUAGUUUGGUAGUAGUUGAGCAACAUCCCCUGAAGAUCAACAGAUGAUAACCAAACAGAUAAUGAUUUAGGAUCACAAAUAACUAGAUUGCUUUCCUUGCUAUCAAGUGAUGUCAAACUGACCUGGAAAGUCAGAUCCCAAAACUUCUGCAUUUUUUGCUCAAAGCAAGUGCAAGUUUCAGUAAUCAUCAUUUUCUUUUGCUCAUUCCAAGGAAUUAUACUUGCAGCAGAAUCAGUAGUGCAACAUUUCCCUUCUCUAACUUCCAGCAAACAAACUAAUGGCAGCCAAGGUGGCAUGACAAAUAGUCUGAGCUUGUCAACAUGUUUUCCUUUGAAGGAAAAGUUCACAGAACCAAAUUGCCCAGUACUGCUCAGCUCCACAACCAUCACUCUUGCAAGAAGUAAGUGACUCCAACUUAAGUAGCAGUUGCCCUUUCUUUCCAUUUCAACAAAAGAUAGCCCCAAAAGUAAAUAUUCAGGUUCACCAGCAGCAUAGAUACCUUCCUUGCUAGUGGCUGCUAUAAGGUUGAUCAAAAAGGACAACUCACUUUUCACUCCAACAUUGAAUUUCAGCUUAUUGCUCCACAAAAUUUACCUCCAAUGAAAAUAAUGUUGUGGGAACCAAUCAUCCAUCCAUAUUAAUAUUUUGCGAAGGUGGACCUUUCCAUCACCUGGAUCCCACUCUAGUGGCCCAAACAUGACAUGUAUAAUGUUCAGCGAGUUUACCAAUGAAAAUUGCUUGCCCACAAAGAGUUGAAACCAUUUCGCUUCGGUUGGAGGGGGCCAAGGUGGCAGUAUAUGUACUUUACAACAGCUGCAGUUGAAUGCCAGCCAUGACAUUAACUGUGACUCCAAUAUGAUCAACUCUUGAUCCCUUGAUGUUAUGGGUGGCCAUGGAUCAACCUCAAAGUGUUGCAACAGCAGUUGCCAUGGAACUAACAAAUGUCCUUCAACUGAUUCCACUAACACUGGGGUGCUUAAGAAGGACAAAUAAGACACAACUUGAGAGUUGUUAGACCCAGAACAUUUCGCUGAAUACCUGGUGGGCAUCAAUGUGUAAUGCUUGAUGUCGGCGAUCAUCCUUGGUGAGAAGGCGCUCAAUGAUGCAAUGGAUGCUGGAACGGUCUCAAGUACAACCGUCUUGGUCAGGAACGCGAUGUCGGCUUUGUUGGCGUCCCACUUGACAUCGAAGCCCAACAUCGAACACUUGGCGUGCGUCUCCUUGGAAUAGUCAGUGGUGGGAAUUUUGGUGGUGCUGGUUGCACCAUUAUCAGCUACCAACUUCAUGGAGGCCAUGGCAGUGGCGGCACAUUUGACCAUCGCAACCAGUGUGAGUUUGGGCUCGAUGUCGGGACUAGAGCAUUUCGUCAAACAUGUGGUGGGCGUCACCUUUGACUGCUCUUUCUUAAUUGACGCUGGCAAGUCUUUUGCCUUCUUCCCAACUUCCGGUGUGCAUGCUUCAACCACAUCUAUGAGAGACCGUAUAUCAGCUCUAGUUCUCCGAUCAGCCUCCUCUCGCCUCAGCUCGUACUCCUCUAUCCGCCUCAACAGCAAGUCCAAUUUGUCUUCUAUUGCCAUGGCACCCUACUUGAUGAGAACUUUCUCAACUAGACCAAGAGCUAGAUGGGGGAAACCAGGCUGGCUCUGAUACCAGAUUGUUAGGAACCCACUACUUCCAGCUCAACAACUAGCAUCCACCAUAGAAGCAACAACUGCUUUGGGGACAAGAGAAGACGACGGCGACAUUUUGGCAAUCUUCGGCGAAGGAAAACCGAUGGCCGGGCUUCAGCUUGGCGCUGCGAUGCUGAGGAAGACGACGGCGAAAACCGACCACCACGGAGUCAUCGACAGGGCUCGACCGGAGGUGGAGUAGAUCGGCUUCACGUCGAUGAGGGGAUUCCAAUGGGUUUCAGCUUCGGGAAGAUGGCUGCCGGGCUUGCUCUUGACCUUGCGGAGCCGAGGGAGGAAGCAGCUAAGACCGAGGACGGCCAGGGCGACGGCGAGAUGCGGCUGGAGCGGCGGUCGGCGGUAGACUGAGUAGGCGAACGCGGCGGCAGCGCUACAAGCGACGGCAGAGAUAGGGAGAGGUGGCGGCCGAAAGAGGAGAGGGAGGGGACUUUAUUUAUAGGAGUGGGAAAGAGAGAUCGGCUCGGGAACGGAUGGAUUCGUUGAAGGAAAAUUAGGGUUUGUUUUUGCAGAGAUAAACUCAAUCCGAGCUCGAUUCCGUGUCGAAUUAAAAGGGAUAAAGUCUAGGGAAACGGAAGAGAACCAAUUCAAGAAACGGCUGAGAGAAUCGAGCGAAUCGGGCGGAGGAAACGGCAGCGUCUCGGCAGCUGCACGGGCUCUAUCUGGAGCUGGAAGACGACACUGUAGCUGGAGGGAAAAAGUAUAGACUUUCAGCUGGGCUUCAUAUUCCAAGGCCUGAUUAAAGAGGGAAGCAAAUGCCCGGUUUACGGGAGCUUCUCCCAGCUGCAGCUUUUCCCAAAAGCUGCUUCUGUUAGAAGCUGCCUCAAACUGUCCAUAGCUUCUGAGAAUCUGUAGUUACAGAUUCUGAAAAAUGAACUAAGAAGCCAAAAGCUGGAGAAGAUGGGUUUCAGAGCUUUUCCACAUUCUCAGAAGCUGGCUACCAAACAGCUGCUUCUCAGAAUCUAAAGCUCCCCCAAAUAGCCCCAAAGCAGACUUCGACAGAGAGAAAGAGGCUGCUGGAUCGGCUGGGCUGAAGGGGAGAGAUGGGCCAGAUUAAGACCUGAGCUUUCGAAAGGAUUUUAAUUACUUUUCCAACUAAAUUAAUCACUGAAAUGAUAUUUGAAUUGUUAAAAAUACUUCAAAUACUGAAAUAUGUUCAAGAAAAAUCUCGCAACUACUUGGACACUUAGAGUAUUUAACAAACUUAAGAUAAGAUCAUUUAAUGACUAAUUUAAUAUUUAAAUAAUUCCUAAAAUGUUCUUUGUAUUAUUAAAAUUAGUAAUUGAGCUCUAAAAAAUCCGAGAAAAUUUCAGAGAGUAUAAUUAACCAUGUAGAAUUUAAUAAAAUUUAAUCCAUCCAUGCUUUAUAUUUAGGAAAUUUUAUUUCCCACAUUUAACUUCACUUGUUUAUUAAUGUACAUUUAAUAUAAAUUUUAAUAAUAAUUUAUUAAAUAAUUUAUAAAUCCUAAUACGAAAAUAAGGAUGUGACAAAGACUGCUAGAAGAAAUCACAAGAAGAAAGAUAGUGACUUGACUCCUACAAAUGAAGGGAUUCAUCUUACACGCAGUGUGGAGAUUAUGGGUAGUUGGGUACCACAUACCCACAUGGCACGUAUAUCCGACUGGUUAUAGGUGAUAGCUUGUACAGAUAGAAUAUGUUUAGGAAAUGACUCGGGAAUUAUGUUAACUUGUAUGUCAAGAAAAUAUCCAAUAGUGCCAGUUAGUUACAGUUGUAAUACAUAUUCGUUAGCCUAGUACGUAAGCCAUAUGGGCUGUACAUUGUAAUCUUGGCUCCUCCCCCUAUAUAAGGUCGGGUCCAAGUGUACCUAGGGGCAUAACUUUUCUCCCAGAUCAUCAGAUCAAUAAUACACUCGGUGGAAUAAUUCCCCGGCUGUAUAAACCUUUGCCUCCUACGUCCUAACCUAUCCACUUUUCCAGCUUGAUUGCUACCCCUUUUAGUAUUGCCGGAAUCUUGUUUUGACAGUUGGCGCGUCAGGUAGGGGUUGCGCCAUGUUUUUCGCCGACUAGUGCGAUGGGAUUCAUUUCGGGCAUCACCGACUUCGCUUUCCCUCCCGGGCAGACGUGCUGGUUCGGCGGCCCAUGGACCUCAUCAGCCACCCGUACAUGCAUGCAAAGAAGACAUCGUACGACAGAUCAAUCCAUGAUUAUAAAUCAAGCUAAUAAUAUUAUAUAGAUUGUGAAAGAAGUUCUUCUGUAUAUGUGCAGAAUGAAGGAUCCCUUAAAGCAAAUUGUUUUUGAUUGGUUGCAAGCUUUAUAGUUUUAUUUAACUCCUUCGACUGUAACUUUGUAAAUAUUUUUUGAGUUAUAUAAAAUUACACUGCUCGGCAAAGCCCUGGCAGUAUUUCAGGUCAAAAAAGAUUUCAUAUAGAUUGAAACGACAAACCAAUCGACGUCAGAGAUUAGAAUCAUCGAUCUCAUUGAGAUUGCCCUCGAGCAAAAACAAUGCCUUUGAUUCCUGAAGUUGUUUCCAUUGCACUUCUUGAUGGAUAAUUCGACGCUUCCCCUACCUGUCGCGCCAACUGUUUAAACUGGAAUUCGGCAAUAUGAAAAAGAGUAUCGCACGAGACAUAAAAGUGGAUGGAUGUGAAGACAAGAAUUUAGACAGGUUCAGGCCCUCUCGAUGAGAGGUAAAACCCUACACCUGUUUGGGGAUUUGUAUCCGCCAGGUGGAUAUUGAUCUGAUGAUCUGAUUGUGGUUAUCCGUGCUGAUGCCCUUGUAGGGGCUCAUUGCCCGCCUUAUAUAGGUUGGGGGGCAGGGUUACAAAGUAGAAAACAAGCCAGACAGCCCACUCUAGUACAUAAUAGAUGGAUCCGGCCCACUCCUAUCUCUAGUCGAAUAUGGAGGCCGUGUCGGUACCCGGUACGCAUACUCUCCACAAGUUUCUCUACAGGAACAAGGACGAUCAAUAACUAACUAUCUGUUUUCUCUUUUCUAUUUUGGUUCACACAGCUACACAUUGACAUUUAUUUUUAGCAUUAAAUGCCUAGCUCUAGCCUUGAUGUUUACUUACAUUUUUCUAUUGUAAUUUUAUGUUUUUGUUUUAGCAUUGGUGUGAAUCAGGAUACUCCUAAUAAUAUAUCAACAUAUUUUGGUUGUCAUCUUUUUGUGUAGUUUGUUUUGACCAGAAAAAGGUUGCUUAAAAUAAAAAGAAAGAUUCAUGCAAGCUGAAAUAAUUCACACGAUAGAUAAAUUUAUUUCCGAAAUUUGAUAACAAUGUUACAAAUGUGGCGUGCAUGCGAUCAAUGUGUGGGAAGCAAGUAUCACAAUUAAUUAAUUGAAAUACAAAAGUAUGCACGAUAUAAUCGACGGUGGUGUGUAUCCAAAAGAAAUUUAGCGUAAGGCCUAUAUAUAAGAAAGAACUGAGGAAUUGUAUGUAUGAAGUUGAAUGAAAAAAUGAUAUAUAAUGUAGAAUUGAGAGUUGGGAAUAUAUGAAAUAGAAAAUUGAGAAAAACAAUGUUACCAAAAAUCGUGGACAACACCACUAAUCGAUCAUGGGAAUUAACAACAAGUAUAAUAAAUAAAAUAAUGUACUUCCACUUAGUAGGUAGCUAGAGAGCAUGCGUAGACCCAGAGGUUGGUGCUUAGGAUGGUGGCGGCCACCUCGGCGACCUUCACCUGGUUGCCCUCGAAGAAGGCAGCGUAGGGGAGGAGAUGGUCAUAGCAGAAGCUGGAGCCGUCGCGGUCGGCCUGCAGGGCGGUGUCGCAGCAGGAGCGGACGAACGCUGCCGCGUCCGCGGAGGGCGCCUCCCCUGGCGCCGCCGCAGGUGGCAGCACCACCACUGGCUUCUCCUCCUUCGCAGCGGCCGCACAUGGUGGGGAUAAGCCGCCGGCGCUGACGACCAUCAACACCACGAGGACGGUGGCCAUGCUCGAGCUCGACCUGCUCAUUUCUGUAUAUU